UUAAAUCAAAUGUGUUUGGGCACAGAGGAAAUCUGAUCUGAAAGAGGAUUUCUGUGGCAGAAUGAGAGCCAGCAGAUACUUAUAUGCUGCCUUUUUGAGGCCAGUAACAUCCUCCGACAAGGGGAUCCAUCAAUACAUCUUUCAUAAGGGCUUCUCUGCACAGUGAGGUGGAAAAAUCUUUCCAAUGACUCCAGCCCAUUUGUAACUUCGCCCUGAACAAAAGAAGGGAUUGAUCGGGGCUUGGACUGCUUCCCUGCCCAGGGGCCUUCCUGCUCCCUAAGAGGCAGAAUCUGCAGAUGGAAUUCAAUCGGGCAAUUGCUCCUGGAGGGAGUGCCCCGUUGGGGCCAGCUCGGCCUCUGAAGAGUGGGCAGGGACGAGCCGAACGUGUUCAGCCUCCUGUGCUGGGUCUGCAGAGGGACUGAUGCCCAGAAGUCUCUAAAGUAAAGAGGCUCAAAGUGGAUCCUGGGGACAGCUCGCCACUGGGUGUUCAGAACAUCAGAUCCACCCCCACUUGGUGAUCUCCAAUGCACGUCCAGCGUAAUACAGCCUUGGUGCAUCCAUCAGCCAAUCGGUUGACAUUUCUUAAGAAUCCACUGAAGGGCCAGGCUCAGGAGAGCUCGAAGGCUCCGUAACAGGGCAAAGGGGUAUGGAGGGCUGAGAAGGGUGGCCCAUUCCUCCAGACGAGUCCAUGACCCCAACCUCCUCACAUGGCGGCCGAGGUCCUGAGUGCUCCGUCGGCUGGGCUCACGUCGGCCCGAGUCAGUCUUAGAUGCUCCUACUUGCUAACUAACAUCUCUUGAGCAACCGACUUCUCCCUCUGGGCCUUGCUUCCCUUUCCUAUAAAACUGGCAUGUCUUCCUGUCAAACAUAUUGUUAUUAAAGCAUUUGAAUAGAGAUCGGGGGAGCACAGUCU